UACGUAGGGUGCAAGCGUUGUCCGGAAUUAUUGGGCGUAAAGAGCUCGUAGGCGGUCUGUCGCGUCGGAUGUGAAAACCCAGGGCUCAACCCUGGGCCUGCAUUCGAUACGGGCAGACUAGAGUUCGGUAGGGGAGACUGGAAUUCCUGGUGUAGCGGUGAAAUGCGCAGAUAUCAGGAGGAACACCGGUGGCGAAGGCGGGUCUCUGGACCGACACUGACGCUGAGGCGCGAAAGCGUGGGGAGCAAACAGG
rnacentral:rRNA from 1 species